rfam:Schistosoma rodhaini strain Burundi genome assembly, scaffold: SROB_scaffold0003463
AUCCAACUGACGAGUCCCAAAUAGGACGACACAUGUGUCCUAGAU